UCGGGGACCGGUCCCUGGAGGGAGAGACCGGUCCCCCAGUGAGCAGUGUCGCGGCAGCCUGAGGCAACCGGUCCCUGGCAGGCGAGACCGGUUCCCGAACGCGUCUUCGCAGUGAGAGACCGGUCCCGCGCAGGGAGAGACCGGUUCCCGAACGAUGGUUUUUCGGAUUCGCAGCGAGAGACCGGUCCCUGCUGGGGAGAGACCGGUCCCUCUGGGCGAAAACUGCCCAGACCGGGCUGAUGCAAUAUUGGAUUUUUGGAGGGCCUAGCUGGAUUUUGUUACAAUAGAGGGUCUAUAUGACCCCUCCACCCUCUCUACUCCUCAUUUCUCUUCUCUCAACUCUCUCCACACCUUUGAUAGAGAAGAAGAAGAAGAAGGAGAAGGAGAAGAAGGAAGGAGGAAGAAGAAGCUUGGAGCUACUAGUGGACUUGGGGCAUCUCCCUCACCUUCUCAUCCUCCUUGGUGCUUGAAGGCUUGGACUUGGAGCUUGCAAAGAAGGAGAUCUUCACCCUUGGAGCUUGGAUUGGAGCUUCUAAGGAGGUUUGUUGCUCAUUCCCUCCCUCUAGACCUUGAUUUGAGGAUUUUUAGUAGAUGGAACCCUAGUUUUGAGACUUAGGGUUAUUUUUGGGCUUUUUGAAGCUAGGGCUUU
rnacentral:lncRNA from 1 species